rnacentral:rRNA from 1 species
UACGGGGGGGGCAAGCGUUGUUCGGAAUUACUGGGCGUAAAGGGCUCGUAGGCGGCCAACUCAGUCGGACGUGAAAUCCCUCGGCUUAACCGGGGAAUGGCGUCCGAUACUGGAUGGCUUGAGUUUGGGAGAGGGAUGCGGAAUUCCAGGUGUAGCGGUGAAAUGCGUAGAUAUCGUCAAGAACACCGAUAGCGAAGGCAGCUUACUAGGCUGUAACUGACGCUGAGGCACGAAAGUGUGGGGAUCAAACAGG